rnacentral:rRNA from 1 species
UACGUAGGGUGCGAGCGUUGUCCGGAAUUAUUGGGCGUAAAGAGCUCGUAGGCGGUCUGUCGCGUCGGGAGUGAAAACUCAGGGCUUAACCCUGAGCCUGCUUCCGAUACGGGCAGACUAGAGGUAUGCAGGGGAGAACGGAAUUCCUGGUGUAGCGGUGGAAUGCGCAGAUAUCAGGAGGAACACCGGUGGCGAAGGCGGUUCUCUGGGCAUUACCUGACGCUGAGGAGCGAAAGUGUGGGGAGCGAACAGG